UGCAUCCUAGCAUCAAAGAGAGAACAGAAGUGUCAAUUGUUUCUCCAGAAUUAUUGAGUUUGAAACGAUCCAGAUCAGGAAGACUACUUUUACCUUCCCUAGAUUUCUGGCGCAACCAAAAGGCAGUUUAUGAUGCGGAUCGGAGAAUUGCUGGAAUUUAGGAAGUCCUGCAUGU